GAUGAACGCUGGCGGCGUGCCUAAUACAUGCAAGUCGAGCGAACAGAUAAGGAGCUUGCUCCUUUGACGUUAGCGGCGGACGGGUGAGUAACACGUGGGUAACCUACCUAUAAGACUGGGAUAACUUCGGGAAACCGGAGCUAAUACCGGAUAACAUUUGGAACCGCAUGGUUCUAAAGUGAAAGAUGGUUUUGCUAUCACUUAUAGAUGGACCCGCGCCGUAUUAGCUAGUUGGUAAGGUAACGGCUUACCAAGGCAACGAUACGUAGCCGACCUGAGAGGGUGAUCGGCCACACUGGAACUGAGACACGGUCCAGACUCCUACGGGAGGCAGCAGUAGGGAAUCUUCCGCAAUGGGCGAAAGCCUGUCGGAGCAACGCCGCGUGAGUGAUGAAGGGUUUCGGCUCGUAAAACUCUGUUAUUAGGGAAGAACAAACGUGUAAGUAACUGUGCACGUCUUGACGGUACCUAAUCAGAAAGCCACGGCUAACUACGUG
rnacentral:rRNA from 1 species